rnacentral:sRNA from 1 species
AUUAAAAUUAAUUGUAAGCUUUUUGUCUAUAAUCUUUGCCUUUUCUAUAUGGAUUUUUUU